GCCACAGCAGACGGUCCUUCAAACAAACACACACAGAGACAGACAAACAAGCUCAGCAAACAGCAAGUAACCCCCAAACACAAACACACACUAUCGACAGCCACUUACCCCAAGUGAUUGUUAUCCUAGCUAGCUGGAAUAUGAAGAACUACCUUAUCUGCCCUGCAUCAGUAGAACAAUGACCUAAAAUUACAGGUUUGGUCAUGAGAUUCAAGUACACAACCCCUCAAGUAGAUUGCAUCAAGACAUUUACAUAAAGCUCUACAGAGAUCUAACAGCUCAGCUCCUUAACACAAGGAGAAACUUUUAGGAAGGCCAACUAAUAAGAACACCAUCACCCAUCAGACAUCAAGACAGUGGAGCCUUCUCGCCUCACCAGAAGCAUGAUGUUUUGGAAAAAAUACCAGUCUCCUUUCCGUCCCUGCAAUACAAUACUUGUAAUGGAUUAUGGCAGAAGCUAUAUACUACAUUCUCCAGUGAGUUCUCUCCCUACUUUCUCCUGGUCUAUUAGUCUUCCUUUACUCCUUUUGAAAGUUAAAAUGCACAUUGACACAAUAGUGGGCACUUCUGCAGACA